UUCAUAGUUUGAUUCAGGUGGAAAUCAAAGCCCUCCUACGGAUUAAACUCGGAUUUGAUCGAUGUUCCGGAUAAGUAUCAUGAGUUCUUAGCUAUGUGGUUGAUCACUUUCGCUAUCAGCUCAGCUGUACUAUUAUGAGUGGCAUACCUCUACGACCCGGUGUGAUUGGAUGGAUGGACUCUUGUAAUCCUAUUUGAUGUGAUUGGUUGGACGGAGUUGUUGUGUAGCGGAUGGGGGUAGGAUCUUUGAUUGCAUUUGUAUCUGAAUAUUAAAUACAUCUGAUUAUGUAUAAGAGAAUGUGUUUAAGAUUUUGAUUUUGAAAUUAAGAA